AGAAGAUGAGACCUUUGUGUGGAAUCUUUUGUGUACUCCUAAAUUUACUAGAAAUAAAAGGGAAAGAGGGAGGCAACUACCUGACACCUGGAGAUUAUGAAAGUCAUGAAAUUCAGCCAAAAUCUGUUGGCAAUACUUGAACGAAGCCAACACAAUUUACUGAUAUUGUAUUUUCUGCAAUGUCUUCAAGAGCAGAAGAAUGGACUAGGGACUUUAAAAGAGAGAAAAGGUAAAACUUUUGACAUUUUUAGGAAAUAAAAAUUGCAACUUUGUAAUUACCAUAUUUUGAGUCUGCUAUGAAAAAGGUACCAUAAUAACAUAAACCAUAUAAUAACACAAAACUGUUCACACUGGGUCAAAUCAAAGAUUCAUCCAGGUCUGUAACCUGUUAUUAGUUGUGAGAGACAGCAGACACCUGUGUAGGAAUAUGACAAGUCAAUCAUGUAGACAAAUAUACCCAAUAUAUUCCUUGUCUAAAGUUAUCUGGGUUUCUGCAGAUAGAUGUCUUAUAUAAUAUGAAAUAAUACUUCAAAAGGAAAACCACAGAGAAGUGGACAGAGGUGUUAUGUUUGUUUUUGAUAGUUGUUGAUGGGUUUCUGUGUUGACGGAUCCUCCCCCCCGUUUUUUCUAGUUGCUUUUCAAAUACAUUCCCUCAUGUGGGAAGGAGAUCAACA
rnacentral:lncRNA from 1 species